GUGUCAGCCGCCGCGGUAAGACGAACCGUGCGAACGUUGUUCGGAAUCACUGGGCUUAAAGGGCGCGUAGGCGGCUUGCCAAGUCAGGGGUGAAAUCUUUCGGCUUAACCGGAAAAGUGCCUUUGAUACUGGCGAGCUCGAGUGAGGUAGGGGCAGAUGGAACUGUUGGUGGAGCGGUGAAAUGUGUUGAUAUCAACAGGAACGCCGGUGGCGAAAGCGAUCUGCUGGACCUCUUCUGACGCUGAGGCGCGAAAGCUAGGGGAGCAAACGGGAUUAGAAACCCUAGUAGUCC
rnacentral:rRNA from 1 species